rnacentral:rRNA from 1 species
CUCGUAGGCGGUCUGAUAAGUCCUGUGUGAAAUCCCUUGGCUUAACCAAGGAACUGCGCCGGAUACUGUCGGACUAGAGGCCGGGAGAGGGAAGCGGAAUUCCGAGUGUAGCGGUGAAAUGCGUAGAUAUUCGGAGGAACACCGGUGGCGAAGGCGGCUUCCUGGACCGGUUCUGACGCUAAAAAGCGAAAGCUAGGGUAGCAAACA